UUCUGUCAGAUUUUUUUCGCAACGUUUUGCCUACGCUGAAAUGGAAUCGGAUAUGCAGGACAAACUGAGAUUACUCCGGAGCGACAGGGUAGAAAAUUGUUCCUUUAUUCGCUACACGUUUUUUUGCUCCUGUUUGCAGCAAUGCUAUAUUAUGGUUUCUGAUGAGGCGAAGCCGAAACGCAACUGAGUAUGAAAUAAGGAUUUGUGCCCUCCUGUACAAAGAUUGGUUUUACCAACAAAUUUUCACCCUAGUGAGAAAUUUUGGUUUUUACCAAAUUUUCCUCCUUAGGGUGAAAUAUAGCAUAGUGCUUUCGCAUAGGCCUGCUAAGCCAAAACAAGAUUCGGCUUCACUGUGUCUCAUCGGCAUAAACAGAACUUCUGCUCGAACGGGACAUCAGUCGUUCGAUUGAAACACAAAGUGUGUUUUAGUUUAAAGGGAUUUGCGUCAAGAUUUUAGUAAAGCCGGUGCUAAUCUAUUCCGACAAUAAGUUAGUGUCGGUUUCUGAUGAGGCGAAGCCGAAAACAACUGAGUAUAAUAAAUAUUAAUGUCAGUGGCCAUCUUUUGAACUUGCGCCUGGCAACAUCUAAAAGAUGAGACGGCCUCUGUUGCAAGGCGCGAAGCUGUGGAUCUGCAAAAUAUCUUGGACAAUUUGUUUACUUGGGCUCUUCGGUUGGAUAUCGGAUUCUCGACGGCGAAAACUGAGCUUGUCGAUACUUUCCGGCAAACGACGAUCAGGCUGUACCAACAAAGGAUAAUAUUCGUGACUGAGUACGGAUAAUACUGUUUCUGCUCCGCUGCGAACAUUCAUCUCAUCACAUCAAUUUCGAGACAACAUUAAUCCUACUUCGUAUACUUCCAACCGCUAUAUCUGUUGACGGCAAAUUCACCUCUGUGGCUGAUAGGAUCAUCGAUUCCAUCACAACUUGCGAAUCAGAAGAACCCCAGCAGCAAACUGAAGAGCAGAGCUGCACCAAAUCUUUCCCCAGUGCCGAUUGCCUCCUAGUAAUUCUGGAAGUAAUCGUACAGCGGCGGCUACAAUGGGACUGGACGUCGCACAGAUGUCAUCAGUCCUAAUUCAACGAGUAACCGGUUUGGGGACGAAGAGAAGAAAGUAGCUUGUAUAAUUGUUCUGGCUUUCCUCCGAUUUUCCGGUAAAAAUCAUGACAGACAAUCGCAUUCAAUGUAUUCCUGGCACCACGUCUGCCUUUGCUCCGAGAAGGCCUACUCCUGUACACGUAUCGACACAGUACAACCACCACUACAACUUCAGCUUCGGAGUAGUCAACAACGAUAACUGACACAAAGUCUAUCCCCAGUGGCCGGCCGUUGUCGGUAGCUCUGGAAGCAAUCAUAUAAAAGUUUCGACCAAAUACAAAUAUGUUAAUACGGAAUGCUCUGAUGAUUUUUCGAGGACGCGUUUUACGCUACCCUGUACCUGGAAAGGUACAGUGUCAAAGUGACAGUGUACUUCAUUGAUUUUUCUAUAAAACUAGCAGCGCUGAUAACCAAUGAAAAUAAAA